UUUCCCUAGCCCGGCGUGGCGCGCGCCCGCUCCCAUUUCCAUGGCGACGGGAACGCCGCCGGUUCCGCGGCCGCUGCGGCCCCGGUAACCGGGAUCACCAGGGACAGCGGCUGGGGCCUAUCUCUACCCAAAACAAUUGUAAUGCUGUGGACGCUGUAAUGAACGGGGAGGGGAUUCCGUUAAAAGCCUCCCGCUGCUCCUGAAAGCACGGUUUCCUGUAGAAGAGCGUGGGUCGUUCUUUUGGCCUGGCUGGCCAUUACCUCUAGUUGGUCAAGGAGCUUUGAGCCCACACUGGGAAGAGUUUCUGAGUUUCUUCUCAAUACGAUAACUGCUAUCAGCAGAGUCUGGGGUUACUGGAAAAUCACAGAGGACACUGGGCUUAUCUUCAAGGCUCCACAUACUUUCCUUCCCUGUAACACGUCACCAGGAGUAGGACAUGGGACAGACAGAUGGCCUUCAACCCAGGCCAAGGGCUACUGAGGCUCCUACUUGUCCCUGACAGAGCACAGGCCUGUCUAACCACAGUACUCCUUGGUGACUUAUGUAUCCAGCUCAGCAUUCAGCCCAGAUGGACACUGCAGAAGCGGCUGCUGCGUUUCUUUGGCACGUCUGUAUUCUCUACCACAGCUGCCUGAUCAUACAUGGGCGUUUGUAUCAAGCAGUGAAGAGGGUCUAGUUGCAGGAGCAACCCCCUGCCAGGCGCACAGGUACGGAGAGGUGUGAUUACAGAGAAUUGCAGAAAAAUACUUUUCUCCUGCUAUUUUUGAUCCAGCU